GCCUGAGGCUAAGCAGGGUUAGUCCUGGUUAGGUCUUGGCUGGGAGACCACCUGAGACUACCAGGUGCUGUAGGUU
rnacentral:rRNA from 1 species